rnacentral:lncRNA from 1 species
UUGAAAAUCUAAAACCCACAGAGUUCAAAGACCUUACUCAAAGUCAAAGAGCUAGUGGGUGGUCAAGCUUACAUUAAUUCUAGAUUUGUCUAGAUUGAUGGAUUCUGCAUUCUACCAUCUAAGAUUAAAAUUUGACUGGAAGAAUACUCUAGAUGUUCAGUCAAAAGCUAAAGGUUAAAAUUUGCAUGAAAUAACUCAUGAAUUCUAUUUCCAUUGUUUCAACUGAAAAUUAUUUGCAAAAUAAAUGUGCGUGUACAUUAUAAAUUUGAUUGGCAAUAUUGAUUUAAAACGGAGGUUAUCAAUAUUUUUUAAGUACAAGGUGUCAGAAUUGUAUUGAACUCCUAAAAGAAUAAACCCAAAAUAAGUUUUAAAAUAUGACCAAAAUUUGAUAUUAAAAUCACAGAAAAGAGUAAUAGAACCCUGGAUUGAGAAUAAAAAUGACUGUAUUCUGCCUUAGAAUGUACUCCUUUAAAUGAACAGUAAUUCCUUGAAGAAGUCUCUGUGCAUAUCUAAAUUUAAUUUUCUUCAUUGCACACUAAGCUUCUGAUAGUUGCUUUUGGGGAUCGAUGAAUCGCUUGAGAAUCUCUGAUUGGGCAAAAGGCCUAAGUGUCUAUAAGAAGCUGAGGAGCUGGAGUGGGAGCAGAAACGUCUGGCAGGGUGAAUGGAGCUGGAAGAAGUGGGAUUAAUCCAUAUGGUAAAGAAGAAAAUAUAGAUAUUUGGACCGAAGAGGUUAAAAAAGUCAAUGGAUGACACCAUUCUCUGAAGAAAAUUAAAGAGGAAUCCAAACUCAUUGUAUGAGGCCAGCAUUACGCUGAUACCUGAUCCACAGAAGGACACUAGAAGAAAAGAAAAUCACAGGCUAAUUUCCUUGAUGAACAUAGAUGCAAGGAUCCUCAACAAAAUACCAGCAAACCAAAUUCAACAGCACAUUAACAGUGUCACACAUGAGCAACUGGAAUUUAUCCCUGGGACGGAAGGAUGGUUCAACACUGGCCUAUUGUUUUUAAGGCUUUCUGGCUCUGGAAACUGUAAACUCUUGCCUCCAAAAUGACCUCAGGAGUCUCCCAGGAAUUACAGGAGACUAUUCCAAGGUGCAAUAAUUUAUCUCUCAAAGAGAUAAAAGUUUAAUUUUAAUUUUUCUUUCUUCUGCUUUACUGAAUUAAUUUAUGAAAAUUCUAUCUGGACUUUAUAGCCUCUUUUACAGACUGCUUACAAUAUGCAGUGUACUUUAGAUGUGCUUAUUCAGUAGUUAAACUCCUUUUACUGUGUCUUAUGGAGAGGGCUCCCUCUAUCAUUUUUUGUUUUCUCAACACUAUAUAGUCAAUAUCUAUUAAGAGAAGUUCUGAAAGAAAAACACUGAAAGAGGAGGAAAAUAAUAAAAGGAACAAUUAGAGCAAUACAACAUAAAUGCCUAUAGCCAAACAACUGAAGGAGUUUUCAUAUUUAAGGGGCCCCAUGAGUAUCUCAUUAAAUGAGUGAAAAACCACUUAUACCUAAUUUAAUUGUUGUGAAAUCUCAGAACACUAAGAUUUAAUAUUAAAAUCUAAAUAUUGCCAGAGAGAAAACACACUACAGAGGAACUAGAAUCA